UGGGGAAUAUUGGACAAUGGGCGGAAGCCUGAUCCAGCAAUGCCGCGUGUGUGAAGAAGGCCUGCGGGUUGUAAAGCACUUUCAGUGGGGAGGAGAGGCCUCUGGCUAAUAUCCGGAGGAAGAGACGUUACCCACAGAAGAAGCACCGGCUAACUCUGUGCCAGCAGCCGCGGUAAUACAGAGGGUGCAAGCGUUAAUCGGAAUUACUGGGCGUAAAGGGUGCGUAGGUGGUUUGAUAAGUUGGGUGUGAAAUUUCUGGGCUUAACCUAGGAACUGCGCUCAAUACUGUUAAGCUAGAGUACUGUAGAGGAAGGUGGAAUUUCCAGUGUAGCGGUGAAAUGCGUAGAUAUUGGAAGGAACAUCAGUGGCGAAGGCGACUUUCUGGACAGAUACUGACACUGAGGCACGAAAGCGUGGGGAGCAAACAGGAUUAGAUACCCCCGUAGUCC
rnacentral:rRNA from 1 species